rnacentral:rRNA from 1 species
AAGCGGCUGUGGAGUUUACAGAAGUGAGAAUGCCGGAAUGAGUAGCGCGAAUGAUGUGAGAAUCAUCAUGGCCGGAAACCUCAGGUUUUUGGAGGAAGGUUCGUCCGCUCCAAGUUAGGCGGGAGCUAAGGUGAGGCCGAAAGGCGUAGCCGAUGCACAGACGGUAGAGAUUCCGUCCCCACCGAAAGAUUUAAGCGCAGGGACACUUUUAGAAGGUCGGAGCCAGGUGUUGGUUCUGGUAGAGAUCGAGGGAAAUUUAGUACCGAAGUCCGGCUGGAUAAGAGGCGAGAAAAGCUGCGUGUAUAUCUAAGGUGCCCGUACCGCAAACCGACACAGGUAGGUAGGAAGAAGAUUCUAAGGCCAACGGGAGAAGGGUUGUUAAGGAACUCGGCAAGUUGACCCCGUAACUUCGGAAUAAGGGGUGCUCAUGAAAGUGAGCCGCAGAGAAUAGGCCCAGGCAACUGUUUACCAAAAACACAGGUUUGUGCUAAAUCGAAAGAUGACGUAUACGAGCUGACGCCUGCCCGGUGCUGGAAGGUUAAAAGGAGAUGUGCAAGCAUUGAAUUGAAGCCCCAGUGAACGGCGGCCGUAACUAUAACGGUCCUAAGGUAGCGAAAUUCCUUGUCAGGUAAGUUCUGACCCGCAUGAAAGGCGUAAUGAUUUGGGCACUGUCUCAACAGCCCGCCCGGCGAAAUUGUAGUACCGGUGAAGAUGCCGGUUACCCGCGACAAGACGGAAAGACCCCAUGGAGCUUUACUGUAGCCUAAUAUUGGGUUUCGGUGUUGCAUGCACAGGAUAGAUGGGACGCUAGGAAGUGAGUGCUUUGGCAUUCAUGGAGCGGCCGUUGGGAUACCAUCCUUGCGACAUUGGAAUUCUAACCUGCGCCUUUGAAUCAAGGCGGGGGACAUUGUUAGGUGGGCAGUUUGACUGGGGCGGUCGCCUCCUAAAGAGUAGCGGAGGCGUUCAAAGGUUGGCUCGUCCUGGACGGAAACCAGGAGAGAGAGUGCAAACGCAAAAGCCAGCCUGACUGCGAGACUGACGGGUCGAGCAGAGACGAAAGUCGGAGUUAGUGAUCCGGUGGUAUGUGAGUGGAAAUGCCAUCGCUCAACGGAUAAAA